GGGAAGCUCAAAAAUGUGUGUGCAUAUAUAUAUAUAUAUAUAUGUUAAAGUGUAUGUGUGUGUAUAUACAGAUAUGUAUAUAUGGUGUUGUGUGUUUGUGUGUGUUUUAUUCCUACAAGGGAAGCCACGCACACUAUAGAGAUAACAGACCAAGUUACUUGUCACUAGGCUGCUCCACAUUCCUCGUGGAACAUCAGAAAUGGAAAUCAUUUUGGUUUUCCCUUUAGUCCAAGCUUUGCUUGAGCUCAGCUCUGAGUACCAUUGGGGAAAAAAGGCAAAGUAGCAAGAUACUGUACCAAAGAAUAAAAAUGUUCUCACUUAUUACCUUGUCCUCAGACUUUCCUUGGGGCUUACCAGAUAGCGCUAGUGGUAAUGAACCGAUGGCCAACACAGGAGACUUAAGAGAUGUGGGUUUGAUCCCUUUGUCAGGAAAAAUCUUCUGGAGGAGGGCAUGGUAACCUGUAGGAGCCUGUAGGCUGGUGGGCUACAGUCCGUAGGGUCGCAAAGAGUCAGACAUGACUGAAGCGACUUAGCACAACAUGGCAGACUUUCCUUAAUGAAGGCCCAGGUAUAGUUGUUUUUCUUCUGUGAUGACCCAACUUUGGCAGCAUUCUGAUUGGAAAUGGAAUGAGGGCCCUUGACCUGUGGUGAAGGAGUCGAUGCAGAGUUGUUGUGAUAAUGUCCCGCAAUCUUUUUCUGGCUGGAACGUUGGCCUGUCCAUGGGUGCAGCUGGCCCCUCUGCCUCUGCCAUCUGUACAGAUGUGUGUGGUGGUGGGCAGGACUGGCCGGACAGCUCUUGGCUUUGGUUUUAAGAUGACCAUGAACACUUGCCAUGGCUGUGUAAGAAAAAGGCUCCUGUCUAAUGAGCCUUGGAUGUUUUAAUAGCCUCACAGGCUAUUCAAGUCAAGCCCCUCUAUGUAAUAGAUGAAAAGACUGAAGCUCAGAACAAUCUUGGGGAUGUGCUCAGAGCUAGUGAGUGACGAGUAGAACCAGAACCCAGUCCCUCAGGUACAGUGGUCUACUGCUUUGGGAAAGGACUGCUCUCUUGAGGUGAUGGUCUGAGGAAAGCAGGCAAGUGUUUCCCAUGGGUAUGCUCAGGUGGGCCAUCCCAGCAGGAUGGUCCUGCACCAGCAGGCUUAUACCAGUAGGCCUUUAGCAGUGGCUCUGUGGGAUAUCACUUUUAUGAAAUCACUGAUGAGGGGUGUGGCCUUUAUUCUAAUGAUGAGAUACUUACCAAAGAGUGAGUGAUUACACGGAAACCAGGCUUGAUAUUCAGGUCCCCUCUGGGCCUCACCUUUAUUACCCUCAUUUCCAAUUUUUUUCCUGGAGCCAGGUGGGCCCUCUGAUAGGGAUAUUUAUAUUGUCUCAAGAAAAGCUUUGGCAAGAUGGCACUCUUGGUGAUAAACGGAAUUGGCAUUUCUGCCGCCAUCUGAUAUUCAUGGAUGAUUUCUUUAAUUCAGAAAUCAUUAGUGCAAGCCUACUGUGUACAGGUUCCCUGCACUGGGAUAUAACAGUGAACACAGUGACUGAUGCCUAGAUAUAGAUUUCUGUUUUCAUGUUACUCAUUCUCCCGUAGGAAGAAGGAAAAGGCAGCCUGAUUGAUUUAUCCAGAACAGAGAAACCCCAUCUCCAUGCUUGUCAUCUUGGAACCACAUUCACACCUCCUUCUUCCAGAUGCAUGACCCAAAGAAAGUGUCCUAACUUGCUCUUUUCCAAAACUAUUGGCAAAAGUUUCGCCCACAGUGUUUUCAAUGAAGUUACAACGUUUUUGACUAUUGAGUAUUUAUAACGUGUCAGGCAUUACAUGUAUAUUAACAUAUAAAUCAAAUACUCAUUUAAUUAUCAAAGAAAUUCUCCAAGGUUGGUAGUAUUGUGAUAUUUCCAUACUUGAUGGAUGAGGCAGCUGAGUCCGAAAGAGAUCUUAAGUAACUUAGCCAAAGUCACAUAUAGGUAAGACUCAGGCAGAAUUAAAAAUGCCUGGUUCUGAAUUCCACCAGGUGAUUUUCGUGUUCCCCCUAUUUAGAAUAGUUUGAGAAUCAAAAUUGGGAUUUUCAAUAUAUACUGACUUAUACUUUGAGCCUUUAUGAAAAGUUUAUUUUGAUCUUUUAUUAAUUUAUUCAACAUAUGGUUCUUAAAAGCUUCUAUCCUGCUGUCUCAGAACUAAGCGAUCAGAUUGUUGACUGAGACACAGGUUAAUUUCAUGGUAAUACCACACACCUGUGCACUAAGGCGGUUCCCCGGCUCCCACAAGCCCAUGCGAGGCACCAGGCACCUCUGCAGUUUCACAAGCGAGGAGACCCAGCUUCAGGCCCUCCAGAGUGGUGUCUGUGUGCAGGUCAUGCUGGUUCCUGGAGAGACAGACUGUUGCUCUUCCCUGGCCUUCUGCUGUGCCUAGACCGGAGGCUCAAAGAUAUGCCCUGGACAUUGAACGUGAAAGAAUGAAUUGAUUCUCUGGCAAAGGAAAUGAGAGAGAGCGCGAGCAACCUUCACUUCCUAGGCAAGAAACAGGAGCCCUGGGCAGCAGCAGUGUCGUCCUCAUCCUUAUCUGUCCGCGGCUGGUCCUCAGCCCAGUUCCUGGCACAGAGCACAAUACGGCUUAAUUGGAUCAGAUUGAGUUGAGUUGGGGAAACACGCAAACAAAAUUCCUCUGGACAAUAGCAUUGGACGAAGCUCAGUUUGUGAAUGCUCAGCUUGUGACGGCUCCUUCUGGAUUCCCUUCUGCAACUGUUUUGCCAGAACACCCGAUGGCAUUCAUUCAUUCACUCGUUCGUUUAUUCAUUCAGCUCCUCCUGGUAGUAUAUAGAAUAUCAGAAGGUGUGGAAGACAAGUCACAGCCCUGCCUUCAGGAAGUGUACCUUGAGGAAAACUUGGGCUUUAUUCUCUGGAUUAUAUACCAUCCCUGAGGUGGCGGAGAGUUGGAAUAAGGCGGUUGUAGUUGCUCGUGGUCCAUCCUCCGUGUUGGCCUCCACACCACAGUCUUUGAACAGGAGUAGAAAGGUCACCAACUGUGGUUGCAAAUUGGCUCUUAUGCUAAUCCUGUCUUAUUCAAAAACACUCAAUAUUUUUCCAAACUGAGUUUAGAGCUUUUGACUAAAGCCUGAAUCGUUUACUGUGUCAGAGCAUAUCGCCAGUAUGGGAAAAACUAGAACUUUAAAAUACAAAGCCCCUUUUAAGUAAUCCAAUAUAGGAUAAUUACAUUAUUAAAUAAAGCCCUGGGUUUCAAAUUAUUCCACUGCCAUUGUACAUGUGAAGAUAAUAAUGUGAACUGUGCUAAGCGAACAGAGCAAAAAAGUUUAACAGGAGGGAGCAUGUCCAAAUCAUAUGUUUAUGUUUAAAUAAAAGCUACACAAAAUAGGAAGAUUUACUUGGUUUCUACAUUAAAGUAUCCUAAAUAGG